rnacentral:rRNA from 1 species
UACGGGAGGCAGCAGUGAGGAAUUUUGCGCAAUGGGGGAAACCCUGACGCAGCAACGCCGCGUGAGUGAAGAAGGCCCUUGGGUCGUAAAACUCUGUCAACAGGGAAGAAAUUACUUCAUAUUAAUAGUAUGUAGUAUUGACGGUACCUGUGAAGGAAGCACCGGCUAACUCCGUGCCAGCGACCGCGGUAAU